AACGAACGCUGGCGGCAUGCCUAACACAUGCAAGUCGAACGAGACCUUCGGGUCUAGUGGCGCACGGGUGCGUAACGCGUGGGAACCUGCCCUUAGGUUCGGAAUAACUCCCCGAAAGGGGUGCUAAUACCGGAUAAUGUCUUCGGGCCAAAGAUUUAUCGCCUUUGGAUGGGCCCGCGUUGGAUUAGCUAGUUGGUAGGGUAAAAGCCUACCAAGGCGACGAUCCAUAGCUGGUCUGAGAGGAUGAUCAGCCACACUGGGACUGAGACACGGCCCAGACUCCUACGGGAGGCAGCAGUGGGGAAUAUUGGACAAUGGGCGAAAGCCUGAUCCAGCAAUGCCGCGUGAGUGAUGAAGGCCUUAGGGUUGUAAAGCUCUUUUACCCGGGAUGAUAAUGACAGUACCGGGAGAAUAAGCUCCGGCUAACUUCGUG
rnacentral:rRNA from 1 species